rnacentral:rRNA from 1 species
ACGCUCGACACCUAUGGAGGCAGCAGUGGGGAAUAUUGCACAAUGGGGGAAACCCUGAUGCAGCGACGCCGCGUGAGCGAAGAAGUAUUUCGGUAUGUAAAGCUCUAUCAGCGGGGAAGAAACUGACGGUACCUGACUAAGAAGCACCGGCUAAAUACGUGCCAGCAGCCGCGGUAAUCUGAGCGGGCUGGCAAGGC